rnacentral:tRNA from 1 species
GUCAGGAUGGCCGAGUGGUCUAAGGCGCCAGACUCAAGGCGUGAGCCUUCCCUCCGGGCGUUCUGGUCUCCGAAUGGAGGCGUGGGUUCGAAUCCCACUUCUGACA